rnacentral:piRNA from 1 species
UGCCAUCGCAAAGGGUGUUCCUCUCUCA